GAUGAACGCUGGCGGCGUGCCUAAUACAUGCAAGUCGAGCGAACAGACGAGGAGCUUGCUCCUUUGACGUUAGCGGCGGACGGGUGAGUAACACGUAGGUAACCUACCUAUAAGACUGGGAUAACUUCGGGAAACCGGAGCUAAUACCGGAUAAUAUUUCGAACCGCAUGGUUCGAUAGUGAAAGAUGGCUUUGCUAUCACUUAUAGAUGGACCUGCGCCGUAUUAGCUAGUUGGUAAGGUAGCGGCUUACCAAGGCAACGAUACGUAGCCGACCUGAGAGGGUGAUCGGCCACACUGGAACUGAGACACGGUCCAGACUCCUACGGGAGGCAGCAGUAGGGAAUCUUCCGCAAUGGGCGAAAGCCUGACGGAGCAACGCCGCGUGAGUGAUGAAGGUCUUCGGAUCGUAAAACUCUGUUAUUAGGGAAGAACAAACGUGUAAGUAACUGUGCACGUCUUGACGGUACCUAAUCAGAAAGCCACGGCUAACUACGUG
rnacentral:rRNA from 1 species